ensembl:lncRNA
AUUUUUUUGUUUCUUUUGGAUAAAAUUGCCACAGAGUCAAAGGUGAUGAAUUGGUCAGCAAUGAUUGUUUCAGCUAAGUCAGCAGAAACAUGGCCAGGAGGAAUGUGGGGUGGGAUGAGGGAGGCUGAGGGGGUCCUGGCUUUGCUUUUGCCCCUGACUGCUGGAGGUGUCCCAGACAAGGCACCCUCUCCCUGUUCACAUCUGCUAAGAAAGGGUCACAAUUCUGGGUGCAGCUCACUUCUGGCAAGGAGCUCCCACAAACCUGGGCACCCGUUUAAGCUCUCCCAUACAUUCAUGUACUGUCUCCCUGUCCCAAAGAGAGUUUCAUCCCCUGAAUCCGCUUCCCAGGAUGCUGUGAGAUGCGGGAAUUUGCCAUCGUGUGGCAGCCACGCUGUUUUAAUUAAACAGAAAAUAUUAAGUGAGCUCAACUUGUGGACAGCACUGGCGUUGGCUUAAACUUGGCUUAUGUUGUUUUGCAAAGCAAGACAACAGUCAGACCCCUUCAGAGAGACCCUGCAAGCACGUUCCCUCCGCACGUGCCCAGCACCGGCUAUGUCAGAGGUUAAGCACCUCAUAUUUGCAGGCAAAGCGGUAUUUGCCAGCCCCCCAACCCAAUUCAGAAGAAAUCAGCAGCUGAGCUCAGGUGACCUCAGUUUAAUCAGAUGAAGCCACACCAGCUGAGGUUACCUGUAGCAGCACAGGCAAGGCUACAUAAACCGCCCCGCUGCAGCCACCAGGCUGUUGCCUUUAGCAGGGUGCUGCUGGCGAAGUGUGGAGCAAGGAAAUUUUCUAAGGGGCAACAAGCACAGACUAUGCCAUUUAUGUGAACAAAUUAAUCUCCAGAACUUCCAAGAUACAGAGAAACGUUUAGCAGCUGGGAACCAGGGAGAUGAAGGCAGAGAUUUUGCUACCUAAAGCAGGUGGAAGAUGGGUUCCCAAGGAAACUCCACCACGUGGCCACGUGAUGGAUCUCCUGCGAUGUACUUGGUACAUGCAGUCUGUCUUCACUGCAAACCUGGAGCAUGAGGCCAGCACUUGCUGGAGCAGCCGCAGCCCAGCGGGAGCCGAGCUGAGCUUCCCGGAGCUGCUUUUGGGCAGGCUGAGCUCCCUGGCCCCGUCUGUGAGAAAGCUCCGUGGCUCAAGGAGGCAGUGUGCCUCCCCCGGCAGCGCCAGAGGGAUUCACGUGAGCGAAAAAGAAGCAAACUGUCCUGCCAAAGAGAGAGGAGAGAGCAUGGAAAUGGUUUGCACUCGGGGUUUUUGCAAGCACGGGGAGAGCCGCUCGCUGCUCUGCCCUGGAGCUGCUGCCAGAGCCGGGCCAGCAGCUGAAGCCCUGCCAAUUAGCACACUGAGUCGAGCACAAAAUAUUUUUAAGCAUCCUGUAAAGCUCUGCUCUGAAAGAAAUGUUUUACUCUCAUCCGUUGGAUUGCCAGAGAGCUUUUUAUGGAUCUGCUCGGUGGCACUGCCGAGAUCCCUGCCCGGUGAUCCGCCUGGGAUCGGUGUUGGAGGCUGCUGCAGGCUGCCAACGCGGCACCGGGGGCUGCAGAGGUGGUCGUGGGUGUAA